AUUGAACGCUGGCGGCAUGCCUUACACAUGCAAGUCGAACGGCAGCACGGGUGCUUGCACCUGGUGGCGAGUGGCGAACGGGUGAGUAAUACAUCGGAACAUGUCCUGUAGUGGGGGAUAGCCCGGCGAAAGCCGGAAUAAUACCGCAUACGAUCUACGGAUGAAAGCGGGGGACCUUCGGGCCUCGCGCUAUAGGGUUGGCCGAUGGCUGAUUAGCUAGUUGGUGGGGUAAAGGCCUACCAAGGCGACGAUCAGUAGCUGGUCUGAGAGGACGACCAGCCACACUGGGACUGAGACACGGCCCAGACUCCUACGGGAGGCAGCAGUGGGGAAUUUUGGACAAUGGGCGAAAGCCUGAUCCAGCAAUGCCGCGUGUGUGAAGAAGGCCUUCGGGUUGUAAAGCACUUUUGUCCGGAAAGAAAUCCUUGGCCCUAAUACGGUCGGGGGAUGACGGUACCGGAAGAAUAAGCACCGGCUAACUACGUG
rnacentral:rRNA from 1 species